rnacentral:rRNA from 1 species
AACGAACGCUGGCGGCAGGCCUAACACAUGCAAGUCGAACGCCGUAGCAAUACGGAGUGGCAGACGGGUGAGUAACGCGUGGGAACCUUCCCUAUGGUUCGGAAUAGCUCAGGGAAACCUGGGUAAUACCGGAUAAGCCCUUCGGGGGAAAGAUUUAGCGCCAUUGGACGGGCCCGCGUCGGAUUAGCUAGUUGGUGGGGUAACGGCCUACCAGGGCGACGAUCCGUAGCUGGUCUGGGAGGAUGAUCAGCCACCCUGGGACUGAGACACGGCCCAGACUCCUACGGGAGGCAGCAGUGGGGAAUAUUGGACAAUGGGCGAAAGCCUGAUCCAGCCAUGCCGCGUGAGUGACGAAGGCCUUAGGGUUGUAAAGCUCUUUUGCCGGGGAAGAUAAUGACGGUACCCGGAGAAUAAGUCCCGGCUAACUUCGUGCCAGCCGCCGCCGUAA